CCUACGGGAGGCAGCAGUGGGGGAUAUUGCACAAUGGGGGGAACCCUGAUGCAGCGACGCCGCGUGGGUGAAGAAGCGCCUCGGCGCGUAAAGCCCUGUCAGCAGGGAAGAAAAUGACGGUACCUGAAGAAGACGCCCCGGCUAACUACGUGCCAGACGCCGCGGUAAUACGUAGGGGGCAAGCUUUAUCCGGAUUUACUGGGUGGAAAGGGGGCGCAGACGGCGAUGCAAGCCAGGAGUGAAAGCCCGGGGCCCAACCCCGGGACUGCUCCUGGCACUGCGUGGCUGGAGUGCAGGAGGGGCAGGCGGAAUUCCUGGUGUAGCGUUGAAAUGCGUAGAUAUCAGGAGGAACACCGGUGGCGAAGGCGGCCUGCUGGACUGCAACUGACGUUGAGGCCCGAAAGCGUGGGGAGCAAACAGGAUUAGAUACCCUAGUAGUC
rnacentral:rRNA from 1 species